GGCCCCAUCGUCUAGAGGCCGAGGACACCACCCUCUCAAGGUGGAGGCACGGGUUCGAAUCCCGUUGGGGCUGCUA
rnacentral:tRNA from 1 species